rnacentral:sRNA from 2 species
AGAUCGGAAAAGCCGAUCGAAGCCGAAGGGGGCCGGGGAACCAGAGUGGAGCACCUGCUCCCGUGGGGCGUAGGUCGUUCGGACCGAGGGUCAUUUCUCAACACCCCGCCCGACAGCUAACCCGGUUGGCGAAGAGAAGAUAU